GACGAACGCUGGCGGCGUGCUUAACACAUGCCAGUCGAACGGAAAGGCCCUGCUUUUGUGGGGUGCUCGAGUGGCGAACGGGUGAGUAACACGUGAGUAACCUGCCCUUGACUUUGGGAUAACUUCAGGAAACUGGGGCUAAUACCGGAUAGGAGCUCCUGCUGCAUGGUGGGGGUUGGAAAGUUUCGGCGGUUGGGGAUGGACUCGCGGCUUAUCAGCUUGUUGGUGGGGUAGUGGCUUACCAAGGCUUUGACGGGUAGCCGGCCUGAGAGGGUGACCGGCAACAUUGGGACUGAGAUACGGCCCAGACUCCUACGGGAGGCAGAAGGGGGGAAUAUUGAAAAAUGGGCGGAAGCCGGAUGCAGAAACGCCGCGUGCGGGAUGAGGGCCUUCGGGUUGUAAACCGCUUUCGCCUGUGACGAAGCGGGAGUGACGGUAAUGGGUAAAGAAGCACCGGCUAACUACGUG
rnacentral:rRNA from 1 species